rnacentral:rRNA from 1 species
UUUUGGACAAUGGGCGCAAGCCUGAUCCAGCCAUUCCGCGUGAGUGAAGAAGGCCUUCGGGUUGUAAAGCUCUUUCGCAAGGCAAGAAAGAUUACUCUCUAAUAUAGAGUGAUUAUGACGGUACCUUGAUAAGAAGCACCGGCUAACUACGUGCCAGCAGCCGCGGUAAUACGUAGGGUGCGAGCGUUAAUCGGAAUUACUGGGCGUAAAGCGUGCGCAGGCGGUUUUGUAAGUCAGAUGUGAAAUCCCCGAGCUCAACUUGGGAACUGCGUUUGAAACUACAAGACUAGAAUAGGUCAGAGGGGGGUAGAAUUCCACGUGUAGCAGUGAAAUGCGUAGAGAUGUGGAGGAAUAUCAAUGGCGAAGGCAGCCCCCUGGGGACAUAUUGACGCUCAUGCACGAGG